rnacentral:rRNA from 1 species
UACAGAGGUGGCAAGCGUUGUUCGGAAUUACUGGGCGUAAAGGGCGCGUAGGCGGCCUUCUUAGUCAGACGUGAAAUCCCUAGGCUUAACCUAGGAACUGCGUCUGAUACUGGAAGGCUCGAGUUCGGGAGAGGAAUGUGGAAUUCCAGGUGUAGCGGUGAAAUGCGUAGAUAUCUGGAGGAACACCGGUGGCGAAGGCGGCAUUCUGGACCGAAACUGACGCUGAGGCGCGAAAGCCAGGGGAGCAAACAGG